rnacentral:rRNA from 1 species
UACCGCAUAUGAUAUGUUUUGGAAUCAAGAUAUAUUGAAAGGCGCCUUUAAAGCGUCACUAGUGGAUGAGGAUGCGGCGUAUUAGCUUGUUGGUGUGGUAAUGGCGCACCAAAGUAAUGAUACGUAGCCGACCUGAGAGGGUGAUCGGCCACAUCGGGACUGAGACACGGCCCGAACUUCUACGGAAGGCAGCAGUAGGAAAUUUUUCACAAUGGGCGAAAGCCUGAUGGAGCAAUGCCGCGUGAUUGAUGAAGUCCUUCGGGAUGUAAAGAUCUGUUAUAAGGAAAGAAAUGUAAGUAUAGGAAAUGAUAUUUACUUUGACGGUACCUUAUCAGAAAGCCAUGGCUAACUAUGUGCCAGCAGCCGCGGUAAUACAUAGGUGGC